rnacentral:rRNA from 1 species
UACGGAAGGCAGCAGUGGGGAAUAUUGCACAAUGGGCGCAAGCCUGAUGCAGCCAUGCCGCGUGUAUGAAGAAGGCCUUCGGGUUGUAAAGUACUUUCAGUCGUGAGGAAGGUGUUAAGGUUAAUAACCUUAGCAAUUGACGUUAGCGACAGAAGAAGCACCGGCUAACUCCGUGCCAGCAGCCGCGGUAAUACGGAGGGUGCAAGCGUUAAUCGGAAUUACUGGGCGUAAAGCGCACGCAGGCGGUUUGUUAAGUCAGAUGUGAAAUCCCCGGGCUCAACCUGGGAACUGCAUCUGAUACUGGCAAGCUUGAGUCUCGUAGAGGGGGUAGAAUUCCAGGUGUAGCGGUGAAAUGCGUAGAGAUCUGGAGGAAUACCGGUGGCGAAAGGCGGGCCCCUGGGACGAAGACUGACGCUCAGGGUGCGAAAAGCGUGGGGAGCAAAACAGGGAUUAGGAUAACC